rnacentral:lncRNA from 10 species
AAAGCCAGGAAACGGAUUCUCUUCUGCAGCCUCCACAAGGGAAUGAAGGCUGGCAUCUAAACUCAAUCAGCAAAAUAAAUUCAAUAAGGAAGAUUUGAAGAUCAAAGACCUUCCUCUCUCUGGCUUCACAUUUCUCAUCACUAGGGUCUUGCUCUUGCUCUGUUGCCUAGACUGGAGUGCUGUAGCAUGACUAUAGCUUACUGCAGCCUCAGCCUCCCAGGCGCAAGCAAUCCUCCCAUUCCAGCCUCCCAAGUAUCUAGAACGACAGGUGCAUGCCAACACCUCUGGCUAAUUUAUUUUAAUUUUUUUUUUGUAGAGACAGGGUCUUGCUCUGUUGCUCAGGCUGGUCUCGAAUUCCUGGGCUCAAGUGAUCCUCCUGCCUCAGCCUCACAUAGCCCUGGGAUUACAGGUGUGAACCACUGCACCCAGCCUGUAGGGUGUCCCUGCAUGAGAAUAAUAUCUAAAUCAGUAGGCUGAGUAAAGCAGAUUGCCCUUCCUAAUAUGAGUGGGCCUCAUCCAACAGUUGAAAGCCUGAAAGAACAAAAAAGCUGACCCUUCCCUGAGUAAGAGAGAAUUCUUCCUGCGUGAUGAUCUUCAAUCUGGGACAUUGACUUUUUUUCUGCCUUUGGCCUGAAACAUUGGCUCUCCCUGGGUCUCGAGCCUGCGGGCCUUUGGACUGGAACUAAAUUAUCAGCUCUCCUGGGCCUCCAGGUUGUCUAUUCACCCUGCAGAUCUUUCAACUUGCCAGACCCCAUAAUUAUGUGAACCAAUUCAUUAUAAAAAUAAAUCUCGAUUGCUGGCAAGAUGGCCGAACAGGAACAGCUCCGGCCUGUAGCUCCCAGCGAGAUCGACAUAGAAGGCCUAGGUCAUCAAGAUGCACAGCACAGGACAGAAGCCCCUCUAGUCCUGCACCUGGUGACAUGGAACUGCUGUGCUGGUCCACACAGACACAGCCUCCAACCAAGCCUGGCUCCUACCCAUCACAGUUCUGUAGGCUGCCCAUUUGCAGAAGGCCUUCCAUCUGACACUCCUCCUCGCCUGCUUGUUCUCCAGCCAUGUUGUGGCCAAUUUGCCAUGAGGAGGUUGCAGUGGCCAAGACUGUUGGAAACUGUGCGGUGUAGCUGGGAGAGAAAGGACACACUCUAAAUGUUCUUACUGCCUGUGACGAUGCAGCUACAGCGAUGUACUAGCUGCUCACAAGCCUGUUCCUUCUUCCAUUGUAGGGCAUGAAGAAUUCCCUUAUCACUGGGUAAGAAGGGGGAACAGAAGUUUUUCUCAUGCCUAAUUUUGCGUUUUCAGUAAGGUCUUUUUCAGCUUGUCCAGGAGAAACUGGAAAAAAAAAGAUACUUGAAAUAAACUGAAGGACAUUUAAACAAAGAAACACUUGAAAUAAAUUGAAAAGAAUUUUUUUUUUCUUUUUUAACAUUAACAUAUUUUGCAGGAAGAAAAAAUAUAAAGGACACUAGGGGCAAAUAAAUUUCUGUGUUUACAAUAGCAAAG